rnacentral:rRNA from 1 species
CAGCAGCCGCGGGAAUACAGAGGGUGCGAGCGUUAAUCGGAUUUACUGGGCGUAAAGCGUGCGUAGGCGGCUUCUUAAGUCGGAUGUGAAAUCCCUGAGCUUAACUUAGGAAUUGCAUUCGAUACUGGGAAGCUAGAGUAUGGGAGAGGAUGGUAGAAUUCCAGGUGUAGCGGUGAAAUGCGUAGAGAUCUGGAGGAAUACCGAUGGCGAAGGCAGCCAUCUGGCCUAAUACUGACGCUGAGGUACUAAAGCAUGGGGAGCAAACAGGAUUAGAUACCCCCGUAGUCCCUGUCUCUUAUAC